UCUCAACCUACCAGAAGUUCACAGUUUUUCUCUUGAAAGAACAGGUUGCUGUCCUGUUGACCAAGCUGCUCUUGUGGACCUCUCCCCAUUAAAGUACUUUGGAUACCAGCUUGAAGACUUUUGUCCUGAAAUGAUAUGCGUUAGUGGAAGCUGAAUUGGAAGCAGAGGAUUCAGGAGAGGAUCCAGAUUGUCAUGUGAUCAUUUGUCUGCACCUGCCAUGACCAGCCCCGAAGAUGCCACACUACAGGCCACCCAAUCCUGAACUUUAACCACAAACUAUAAAAUUACGAACACCAUCUUCAUCCUGGCGUCAGUCUGCAGAGGGAGUCACUCUCAUCUGCCCUUCAUCCUCACUGGUUCUUUGGCAACACAUUUCAUGGUCUGCAAAUCUCCUUUAGGAGCCUGAGCAGAAUAGACAGGACAAAGCUUGAGUAAAGAUUCGUCUGCAUACAAGACAGCUAUGUUCCAGGUUAAGAACCUACAACAAAGACCCAGAAGCCAAGAAUGCAGACAAAGUGGGUACACCAGCAGGAAGCUGGAUCAGAAGUGGAGUUGCCAGGAUUCAAAGUGGUGCCCACAUGGGAUGCUGGUGUUGUAGACAGCAGCCUUACUUGCUACACCACAACACUGGCCCCUUGACUCCUAGUCUUAAAGAGGGAUCCUUCUGAUGUUUGGUAAAGUCCUCAUGACAUGUGAGCCAGCGUCAGCUCUACUGUGAGGAGCCGAAGCACCAUAACGAGGCACGGGACCAGCCCUCGACGCCAGGGAAAGGCAGAAGCAGAAAGCACAGCAGGAGCUGUAAAGGGGAGCGAAAACCCACAGGAGCAGGGAACUCUGGGAUCAGCCGUCUCUCUGGCCAGAACUCCCUGCCAAAUCUAGACUUCGGGAGUUUGGGUUUUCCUGUGGUGGAUCAUGGGUUCCAUGUGGCUGGAAACACUGAACUGAAGUUCAGUCAUUUCUUCACUGCAGUUUCCUGACUUCCUUGAUACGCGGAUACACACUGUGAAUCUUCAAUAGAAGUCACUUCCCAGUAGUUUCUCCAAGCAUUUUAUCAGCAAGGACGCUCUCUCUGACCUCAGUGCUCCAGCACACUUUGGGCGGCUCCACUGUGAGGAGUUGUUCUGGGUGCUAUUCCUUGUGUGAUUGGCCUGCUCCAUGAAAUAGUUAACAAAGAGCCUAAAGAGCAGUCCCUUUCCAUAAAGAAUUCAGUCCUCUUUCCAGGUUGCAAAGAAGAGAUACAUACAAGUGGCUUCAGCUGAGAUGGAGAAGUGACUUGUUCAGAACGGGCCAUUUCCCUUUUCACUGCGACCUGGGGCGGGCCUAUCUUCUUUCAGGAGGCGACUGCAGCUGCAAAGAACUCAUCAGGAAAGGAUGUUCAGUGGAAACUUCCCAAACUGGACGGCAAAGAGGAAAAGGACUGUGAAGAACAGUGUGGGCUAUUGAGCCAUGGUGGACCCGCACAGAAAGUGGAAUGUCCAUGUGACGGCAAAACCAGGAGAAGGAAGAGACAAAGUCCCAUUUUACAGAUGAGAGCAAUGAGACUUGGGCAACUUGUUCAACUUGCUGAAGGGCCUAGAGCUAGAACAGGAAUAGGAGAUGCAGAAUGGACAUGCCUGCCUUGCUUUUCCUGGCCUCCGCCCUCUCCUCCCACAUCUAGUCAUCUCGUCUCCUGAUUUACUCAAUACCAGUCACUUUUGUGGUGGGAAAAACAACUUGAAAGACUACUAAUUCAAAUCAAGUGCUUCAGGCUUAAAUACCCAAUUUGCACGCCACAGCAGACAUUGCAGACUGAUCACAGGUGUUUCCUAUCGAGCCUGCACGCAGCCCCAGAAUCCUCUCGGCGUAAGACGUGGCCUGUUUGCCAUUUCUCCAUCAGGAGAUUAGAGCUUCUUUCUACUUUGUCUCGGGGUACGGCUGCAUGGCUUCCAGGUAAGCCAUUCAAUUCCUCUGCACCUCUAUACAUCUGUAACAGGAGGCUCAUGGCUUCCCCGACUGUCCUACACAGCCGUUAGGGGGAGCUGGUUUGAAGGUUGAAAUAGAGCCAGGGCCCUCCAAGACGGUAGCAAGCGUUCCCAGGAUUCCUAACAGAGAAAGUAGUGUGCUUGCCUGGUUAGCACAGAGAAGAGCCAAUACUGAAAGGACUUUCUUCUAAGGAGAAGGAAGACAGAGAAGGAAGCAAAGCGGGAGGACGCGGCUUGGCGUCAGAGGCAGUGGGUUCGAGUCUCGCUUCUGCCUCUUGGCAGUUGGGGUUGGGUGGGGAUGUGUUAGUAAGCUGGGCAGGACACGACUCCACCAUCCAACAGGGCAGACCAAGUCCGCCUCGGGGGCCACUGAAAGUGUGGAGGGAGUUCAUGCCUGCAAGAGGGCCGAGUGCAUGGCCAGGCCCAAGUAGGGACUCAGUGGGCUCCAUAGCUUGGAGCCGGCCGCAUCUUCCACAGCACAGAGAACUGGGUUUUGCUCUUCUCCUCCAUCUCCACAGUGCAUGCCCACUUGACUGAGCAGGAAGUGUGUGUUGUGUCACUGAACGUUUUUAUGACCUUCAGGCCCCCGCGAGGGGAGAGGACCACAGUGCAUGACGAGAUUGAGCUGCUCCCCAGCGCCCAACUUGCCCCCUAGUUCUAGCCCUUUUAGCUUGGAGUCUUGCAGGUAUUUCUGCUUACAUGUCUGAUUCUUCAGCUCUGGGGUGGGGCUUCCCUGAGCUUACAGGCAGCUGUGAGCAACGAUGCGUGCAGGUGUGCCGGGCACAGGGCAAGAGGCUGGGAGGCGUGAAAAGCACCGCUGAGGUUCCUAUCAGUGAGCCAGGGGCUCUGGAAUGUUCUGUCGGGCUCCUUUCUGCAUGCCCAAGCCCUACUCAUCCUUGUCGGGCCACCUCAACAUCCUACCCUCCUGGGAGGCCCUGUGGGGCUUCAUCCCCCCCUGUCUCUUGCUGCACUGGUCAGCUCUGGAGCUUGAGUUAGUCACACCUGUGUGCAGACAAGCCUUCACCUUUUGUUAUUCUUACACCUCCGGUUUGGGCUCCAGGCACUGACCUCUGUGUCCUCUGUGACCUCUGUGUCACACUCUGUGCUUGCCUCUAGACAACUCCCGUUGAUCAACCCAGGGUCUGCUGCCCUGAUCCCUGACCCCUGACAGGUGGAUGCACCUGUGAGCACAGGCACUUUGGCCACCUGCAGUGCGAUCCUUCGGUCCUCUGCCUUCUGCUUAGUCGGUCAGUUCUGCCGCGGUGGACUUGUCUGGGCUCCUCCUGCUGUGUCCCAGGCAUCUAAAGCCGGGACGAGAACGUGAGAGGUGCUCACAUGUCUGUCAGCUAACUGUAAGUUCUCCUUUCCAGACACUGAGCUCCUUGGGAAUGGGGCCUGUAACUGCUAAGUUCUUGAACCCUCUGCUGCAUAUAUCACAGUGCAUAGGCUAGUGCUAGGUGCUCAGUAAAUAAAUGCUUGAUCACUAAUGAAGUGCAUGUCUUGUGAGAUGGACUGGUCUCAGUCAAGACUACAAAAGCGAGGGAUGAUGUGCUGAGUAUCUUCUAGAUCCCCCUGCUGCUGGCAUGCUCUCUAUGCAUGCACACUGCUUGGUAUUCAGGAGGCUGACCCUUGAGAGACUGGCGUGACGGGUUGGUUUGCCCUCUGGUUGGAUGCAAUCCAUGGAGUCACCAGUAGAGGGAGAGAGGAGAGUGAAGUCAAACUGUUGCUCCUCAUUAUUAGGGGAUCCUGUAUUUGCAAAUUGGUCUACUUGCUAAAAUCCAUUUGUAACCUUGAAACCAAUACUCGGGACACCUUUGUGGUCAUUCACCGACACGUUGAGAAGAGAAAUGUCACGUGAUGUGCAUGUGCCCCCUAGCUGCAACUGGACAAGGUGACACUCUGCCGCCCUGUUUCAGCUCUCACACUGAGAAAUGUUCUUUGCAUGGUCUAUUUAGCGUCCUAUUUUUCACACUUUGUGCUUUUCAACAGUGAUUGAAAAUGGCCCCCAGGAGUAGGAAUGAAAUUAAUGAAGUGCUACCUCAGGUUCCUAAUCCCAAAAAGGCUGUGAUGUGCUGUAGGGAGAAAAUAAGGUGUGUUAUGUGAGCUUCAGUCAAGCAUGCGUUACAGUGCUGUUGGCCGUGAAUUAGCGUUAUACAUUAAGUAAGGUGUCUUAAAGCAGAAACACACGUGACACGGGUUGUGUAUUCAUAGGUGUGGGCAUGUGACCAGAGACUCCCAGGGCCCUACCCUUGUACUUCGCCUAGGAGCAGUUGUUCAGUAAUCACUAAUUCAGCAUUUACAGCAACUCUACAGAAGGUAACUACAAUGAACAGCAAGAAUUGACUAUUGAUCCUGCAGGCUGGCUUCUACCUAAUGGGUUGGCAUUGGCUUGGCUCCAUCUACAAGAGGCCACAGGUUCAAAGAGUGCGGCUUCUCCAGAGCUACAGCUGUUGUCUUGGGAGCUCCCUCUCCUCAUUCCCUUAGGCCUCAGGAUGGCGAUAGGUACCCAUCAAUGUCAGCCUACAUGCUGUAUCCCCGCAUCCUGCCCAUACCUUUGUCAGUAGUCCCUUCCUUAAAGUCUUUUUUACCCCACUUUUAAAUGUACCAUCUGUUUCCUCCUCAGAAUUCUGACUAAUCCGGAUAGUUUAUGGAAAAUUCUAGCUGUUCUUUCUAGCACCUAGAAACAGACAUAAGCAUGGCCUCCUCUCCUCCCCCCGGCCCCAGUCAGCCUGACUGAAGGACACAUUGUCCUAACUCUGGUGCAGUUCUGCUCUGCGUGGUCCCCUGACUCACAGCACAGUCAUCCCUUGGGAGCUUGUUAGAAAUGCAGAUUGCUGGGGUAGGCAUUUGCUCCUGAGUCAAAGACCCAGCUUGGGGCACUGGCAUAUAGUAGGAGUAUGUGGAUUUGAAUCCCUGCUCUGCUUCCCGGUCAGCAUUCUGCUAAUGGGCACCCUGGGAGGCAGCAGGUGAUAGCUCAAGUACAUGGGUCCCCACCACCCAAGAGAGACAGAAUUCCUGGCUCCUGGCUUUGGUCUAAUUCAGCCUUAGAUGCUGUGGGUAUUGGAGAGGGAACCAGCAGA